rnacentral:rRNA from 3 species
UUCCGGUUGAUCCUGCCGGACCUGACUGCUAUCGGAUUGAUACUAAGCCAUGCGAGUCUUUGUAGUAAUACAAGGCAUACGGCUCAGUAACGCGUAGUCAACCUACCCUAUGGACAAGAAUAAUCUCGGGAAACUGAGCAUAAUUCUUGAUAGAUCAUAAUGCCUGGAAUGGUAUAUGGUUAAAAUGAUUCGUCGCCAUAGGAUGGGACUGCGGCCUAUCAGCUUGUUGGUGAGGUAAUGGCCCACCAAGGCGAUUACAGGUACGGGCUCUGAGAGGAGAAGCCCGGAGAUGGGUACUGAGACAAGGACCCAGGCCCUAUGGGGCGCAGCAGGCGAGAAAACUUUGCAAUGUGCGAAAGCACGACAAGGUUAGUCCGAGUGAUUUCUGCUAAAGAGAUCUUUUGCUAGUUAUAAAACCACUAGUGAAUAAGGGGUGGGCAAGUUCUGGUGUCAGCCGCCGCGGUAAAACCAGCACCUCAAGUGGUCAGGAUGAUUAUUGGGCCUAAAGCAUCCGUAGCCGGCUCUGUAAGUUUUCGGUUAAAUCUAUGCGCUCAACGUAUGGGCUGCCGAAAAUACUGUAGAGAUAGGGAGUGGGAGAGGUAGACGGUACUCGGUAGGAAGGGGUAAAAUCCUUUGAUCUAUCGAUGACCACCUGUGGCGAAGGCGGUCUACCAGAACACGUUCGACGGUGAGGGAUGAAAGCUGGGGGAGCAAACCGGAUUAGAUACCCGGGUAGUCCCAGCUGUAAACGAUGCAGACUCGAUGAUGCAUUGGCAUAUAGCCAGUGCAGUGUCGCAGGGAAGCCGUUAAGUCUGCCGCCUGGGAAGUACGUACGCAAGUAUGAAACUUAAAGGAAUUGGCGGGGGAGCACCACAAGGGGUGAAGCCUGCGGUUCAAUUGGAUUCAACGCCGGG